CACUCAGGAGGGGACUCCCAGACUGACUGCUUUACUUUCAUGGCCACAGACAGCACAAACCAAGGCUUUAUUGUGAAUGGGAGAGUGUGGGAAAAACCUGUUUUAUUCACCAUUCAGGUAGACCAAUUGGACAAAACAGCUCCUCGUAUCACACUCUUGCAUUCCCCUUCUCAAGUGGGGCUCCUGAAAAAUGGCUGCUACGGGCUUUAUAUCACUUCCCGCGUGUUGAAGGCAUCAGACCCUGACACUGAGGAUGAUCAGAUCAUCUUUAAAAUUCUACAAGGCCCAAAACAUGGACAUCUGGAGAACACAACAACAGGUGAAUUUAUCCAUGAGAAAUUUAGCCAAAAGGACUUGAACAGUAAGACUAUUCUUUACAUCAUAAACCCAUCCUUGGAAGUAAAUUCAGAUACCAUGGAAUUUCAAAUCAUGGACCCCACAGGGAACUCGGCCACUCCUCAAAUUUUGGAACUGAAGUGGUCUCAUAUUGAAUGGUCACAGACCGAAUAUGAAGUCUGUGAGAAUGUGGGUGUGUUGCCCUUGGAAAUUAUCAGAAGGGGAUAUUCCAUGGACUCGGCCUUUGUGGGUAUAAAGGUCAACCAAGUGUCAGCUACAGUUGGAAAAGAUUUCACCGUGACUCCAUCUAAACUGAUUCAGUUUGACCCAGCCAGCCAAAAGUAGAAGAAGUGGAUAGCUUCACCUUUCCAUUGACUUCUGUUGAGGAUUGAAGAGACUGAUUAGAUCAUGAGAUCUAUGUGAGGCAUACCUUCAAGAAAGAGGCCACCAUAUAGAUAGACAGUUGAGAGGUAUAAGUC
rnacentral:sRNA from 1 species